rnacentral:rRNA from 1 species
UGGGGAAUAUUGCACAAUGGGGGAAACCCUGAUGCAGCGACGCCGCGUGAACGAAGAAGGUAUUCGUAUCGUAAAGUUCUGUCCUAUGGGAAGAUAAUGACAGUACCAUAGAAGAAAGCUCCGGCUAAAUACGUGCCAGCAGCCGCGGUAAUACAUAUGGAGCGAGCGUUGUCCGGAAUUAUUGGGCGUAAAGGGUACGCAGGCGGUGUAAUAAGUCGAAUGUUAAAGAUCGGGGCUCAACCCCGUAAAGCAUUGGAAACUGAUAAACUUGAGUAGUGGAGAGGAAAGUGGAAUUCCUAGUGUAGUGGUGAAAUACGUAGAUAUUAGGAGGAAUACCAGUAGCGAAGGCGACUUUCUGGACACAAACUGACGCUGAGGUACGAAAGCGUGGGGAGCAACCAGG